AUAUUUCUCUCCCUUAACCAAUGAGCGAGCAGGUUCUAGGCCAUUGGUAGGAUGACAGGAGCGAACCGGUCUUCUCUCUCUUUUACUUCCUCAUCGCGAGUUAGUGAAGACGCAGUUUCUUUGGUUUGUCUGACAGUUACAAACAUACUGCAGGAAAAAAAAAAAAAAAAAAACCCGGAUUCAACUACAGUCUUUGUGCGUCAUUGGAAUUGAGGGCAGCUCAUGACAGCGCGGUUUGGCCAACCGUUAACUGCGUGCCACCAUCACCUUGUUCUGGAAGGCAGUUUGUGGCAGCGCAGGUUGGCUAACAACCGUUAGCUACGUGCCCUCAUCACCUUGUUCUGGCCGGGUCUUUUAUGCGGGAGUCGCCUUUCAUUUAGGACAUCGAGGGAGAUCGCUUGUGAAGCAUAUAUUUUUCCUUUUAUUUUUCCGCUCUCGACCUGUCGAGCCACAGGAGUGGUUGUCGAAGGAGAGACCGGUGGCGAGCUAACCCAAUUUUCGAACCUGAACUGGACACUUUUUUUUUGUUUCAGCUGGGAAUCUGGUAGGAACUUUCCAUAAUACUCAACAGUGAUUUACAUGUGAGCUCACAUAGCGUUUUGGGACUGGAAUAAGACGUUGAAGGGAAAACACUUAGUGCACUUAGUAAAGUUAGGGUGUGUAAAGUACGUUUUUGGGAUAAAUUGAGCAUUUGUUUCAUGCAUUUAACUUUUCUUUUCAAUGUACAUAUUGUAAAUAUUUUAAUAUUUUUGUUUUAUAUUACACACAAAAAACCCACAAUUAUCUGUGUCUAGAGUUUUAUUUGCUUCUGCCGGGUGCACGCUGUCUCCUGUGAGUCGAGUCUAGCUUCUGAUGCACUGGUCCAAUAAAUAAACACAUUAUAAUCAGACAACGUAAAGUGAUACAAGGUAAACUUUGUCACUUGUUAACCACCGGGUUACAUAUGCAUACUCUAUUACCACGUGAGCCCUUAUGAGCCAGCCCCAGGUGGUUUAAGUUUGUAAUGGCAGGUGGUGACACAAAUUACACUGUAGUAACAUAUUUAUUAAAUGUUUAACAAUGUUAUUUACAGUUCAAUGCUAACCUAACUGACAAAAGGAGUGCCAAAAAAGACGAAAUACUUAUGUUGACAUGUCUCAUGCUCUCAUAGUCAACAGUUUCUGAGUCCAAAUCCAAGCUUUAACCAUUAUGUGUGGGGUUUGCAUGCGCUCCCUAUAUUAAGGUGGAUUUUCUCCAGGGACUCUGGUUUCAUCUUUCCUUGUGGCUAAAUGAGCCCAUCUUGGAAUACUUUCAUGUAUCUUUGACAUUUUCAACCCAUAUAUUGCACAGAGUUUAGACCGGUAGUAGUGGUCUUCAUCUUGGAAAUUCAAAUUGGAUAAGUUAAAUUUCCUCUGUAGCGGUGGUGUUGGAUGAAGGUGUGGGUGAUCCAGGCAACAGGCCAGAUGGAACUAAAGGAUAUCGAAAUGUUGUAGAGGUGCAAUCAUGAGGUGUGUUGUGGUGAAAUGGGUGCUGAGAUGAUUUUUUUUUUUUUUUUUUUUAAUUCAUACUUUCUACUUUCCAUAUUUCUUCUACCACUGGCCUAAAGCGAGAAUACAAGGCAUACUGAGGACAGAAGUGGAAAGUCACCCCUAUGGCAAAAGGUGGAAUGUGACUCACUUGAUCCCACGUGUCAGAAAAUACUGUAACCCAUUACGUCGAUCGCGAUCUACCGGUCGGUCGCAACGCUACUGUGGGUAGAUCAUGGCAUCAAAAAAUAUAUAUACAGUAUAUUUACUAUUCUUUCUUUUUAAUGUGCAUAGCUUAUUAUGUUGCGUGAGCAACAUAUGCGAGCUACCCUUUAAGGUAGAUCGCGGGAGGCUGUCUCAUUGAAAAGUAGAUCUUGGAGCAAAAAACAAGGAGCUGUAAACCUAUAACUGAUUUUUGCAAGAGCUGCGGAUAUCCAGACAGUUGAAAUUGAAGAACUAUAUACUGUAAACAGAACUCCACUUUUCAGUUAACCGCCACCUGAUAGGCAAUGGAUUUUUUUUUUAUAUGUAUCUCAACAGCUUUGUUUUUAAGUGAAGCUCAGACUUUUCUUUUUAAUUAAUUAAAAAAAUAAAUAAAUAACAUUCCUCAACAGGGAGGUAUCGAGAGUGCUUGAUCCAAAAUGUAAAGCAGCUGGAUUGUUUUGGUGGCAUAUCAAAAGUAGUGCUCAUGAUUCAUUAGCAGUUUUCACAGUCAGAUCUAUGCCCCCCUCCCCCAUGCAUCCUGAACCAAUCCCAUGAUUCCCUAUUAUCAAAACCAAAAAUAACACACUGAGGAUUUAUUAUCCUGUUGGUGAGCCAGGCUUCAUUUGCACAAGAGAGGCCUCAAUCGUCAUCCUGGCAAUGAUUUUGUUUUGAUUUAUGUACUGUGAGCAGUGUUAGGAGUGCAUGCUCACACCUCUGCUUCCUUCAGUCUACAUUGAUGUUGAUAUGGAAUGUGAUAAAACAUGGAUGCUGAUCCACACCGCCACCUUUUCUAAGCAGAUAUGUUCAUUCAUUAUGUACGAUUCAAAAAUACUAAUACUAAAAACUAAAAAUAAAUUUUGUUCUAUUGAAACUGCAUUUAAUGGUCUGGCAUAGAUAGAUGACAAAAACAACUAAUUGUCUGUGUGUAUGAAUAUAUCAUGAAUGACCAGCAAUACUAGCAGAGAGGUUUAGUAAACCAUUAUAAAGUAAACAAUGAAAAACAGAAUGAUUAAAUGACUAACAAAAAAACAUUAAUUCCCACAAUCGCAUUUACCAUGAAUGUUUUUGGGAAGUGGAAGGAAAGCGGAGUAACCAGAGAAAACCCAUGUAGACACAGCGAGAACAUUCACCAGGGAAGGCCAGAGCCUAGGCUUGAACCCUUGAAGUCAGAAAUGUGAGGCAUUGUGAAAAAUAAUUAUCAACUGUGCCACUAGCGAUUUGUCAUUUACAAUUUGUUCAAUGGUAUGGUUGCAUUUUGUAUCAGUGAAUAAGUUUCUCGUUCCGAUACUGCAUGCUUUUCCUUUCAAGAAAAAAUGAUAAUUGUUCCAAAAAAAGAAAAAAAAAAGAAGAAAUAGAGAUGCAAGUUAAAAGACUCUGGUUUCCAGUUAUCUAAUAAUAUGUGUAGGAGGUGUGAACAUUUUAUUACCCUGAAGAGAAUACAAUUAGUAUCGGUAAGUCAGGCGACUUGGUAUCCAGCCACCCAUUCAAUAAGUCUUAAACAAGUUUUUCAAUUUCUCUAAUCUAGUGCAAUUCGAGCAUGUUCUUUGACAUAUGUAAUGAUUCCUCACAAUGCAACGUGCAAAAGCCCAGAGUUUGGGAUACAUGUUCAUCGAGCAUAGUUCAUAAACACAUACAAUACAGAAUGUCUUGUUUCAAUUAACAGUGAUACAAUUACUGAGCAUUAUUUAAUGAAUGACUGAUGUAUUCUUCUUAUGUCCAGACUAUGCAGUCGAAUAUAUAUUACAUUUGCGAUCAAAACAUAACAGUUUCUAUUGUUUAGGUUAAGUCUUUGUUGAUGCUGUGACUGUGAAAAUCAUAUUUUCGAAGUAAAACGACUCACCAGUUUGAAAGCUAGUGAACGUUUCUUUGGCAGGUGUGGACAAUCCUUUUAUGAGAUGGUGUGUAUGUGUGUCACACCUUAACCCCCUUUUCCAGUAAAUCUAUCUUUUGUUUGUACCGCUUCCUAGAAUGAAGCCUUUGAGCCAAGAUGAUUUAAAUAUGAAGUAUAUUCACAGGGAAAGGCCAAUCUGGUGCUAUUUCCCAAGCACAUGCAUUUGAUUUUCUUUUAGAAAAUGAAUCAUGCAACCUUUGUACUGAUUCAUUUAUAUUUAUUUAUUUUUACUAUACUAUCCAUCCACUGAUUAUUGAACACAGAGUCCAUCUUUUUUGUUAUUUCAGUGAAACUUCAAACAUGAGAAACUGGUUCAGCCCACCAAUGCAUAAAAGUAACAACCACAGAGAAUAACCUGCUGUUUGGCUUUUAAAUGCAAUAAAGCUUGCAAACAUAACACUUAUAUGAUGUAAUUAAAAAUGCAGGAGUUGGGGAAAAAAAAACAGACACAUUGCUGGUCUCCAGCCAAGCACUUCCGUGAACAAGUGGGAGGAGGUAAUGCCUGAAAUUGGAAAGCAAUAAAAUGUUAUAUGUUUAAGUGGUCUUUUGAUAUUAAAUAUUGUCACUAUUGUAAAAAUAUGACAGCUGACCUCUGACAUUUAGAUAUUAUCAGUUACAUACUUUCCAAGUAACACAAAAUCAUGAUUGAUCUAAAACACAUUUUUUGAAAAUGCAACCAAUUGCAUAAGGUUCUGUUAGGAUACAUAGCACUGGGUAUUACUACAGCAGUAGUGAUUUCAUUGCUAUGCCUUUAAUUAAAUUUAGGUAACUUUACAAUGUUAUGUUCUUAAUCAGCAUCUUCAUGCUCGCAAUAGCUUUUGGAUUUUUGUCAGUAAACAUUUAGCAAUUUUUGGCAAAUAGUUUGUUGUAUACUGUAAAGUCGCUGUGGGAUGUUUCCCAUAAUUUAUUUUGUUUCAAAAAGGAAGGUGUGGGGGUGAUAGCGGUCUUAAAAAGGGCUUUACUGUAAGUUACCACUUGCAUCUCUCCAUUUUGGUGGGUAAAAAUCUUAAAUAGCAUUAUUAUUGGAAUUAAAACAAUAUAUUGAGACAAUUCAACUAUACAAAAUAAUUUGGCAUAGCGCAGAUGACGAGAAAUGUGUCUUUAAAUCUGCUGUUUAGCUCCUACUGUCAUCAUAGCGCUCCAGCGCCUUCAUGGCUAUGGAGUUACUAGGUUAAGUAUUUAGCAUUUGUGCACAAUGGAGGAGGAAGCAUUUUUCAGCGAUUCUGGUUCAAGUGUGGAUUUUUCGAACUAUACUGUCGAUCCAGGGGAAGUAUGUGACAUACAGCCAUACAUGUUGUAUGUCGAGGAGGAGGAAGAUUCAGAACGAGAAAAAGGCGACAAACAACAAACAGGAGGCUGAUGACGAGCAGGCUGCAUGGGCAGCACAAAAUGUCAUCAUUGUUUUCGUCUCUCUAGUCCAAUAUUAUAACAGAAUAUUCUUUUUCUAAGUAUUGACUCCCCGACUGCUAUAUAAAUUGUAUUCUCAAAACUAAUAACAGUCUUGUGCGAAAUGGAAUAUUAAAAAUGCAUGUAUUCAGUAUGACAGGGCUAAAUUACUGCAUAAUGGUCAAAAUUGCUGACUUCUUAAACCUCUCAAACGGUAUUUUAUGCCACUGGAGUUAGUCCGGCUCUUGUCAUUUCCCUGCCCCAGCCUCAGAGACGAAGGACAGAGCGUAAACAAAACAGGAGGCGUGAGAGCUAGGCUACAUGCUAACCCAAACCAAGCGGCUCUUCCAAGUCUCUUCCUAGACUUUCGAAUAUGAAAAGUCACACAGAACUACCCCAACUUCUGUCACACAUGGCGGCAUUGGUUAGCCUCCGGCGGUGAGUGACUUUUAACAUACUAUUACAGCUGGUCAUACCCCUGCUCCAGCAAGCAGUCCCGCCGGACCCAGGGCAAUGUCAGCGAGCGUCCGCUGGGAGUGCUCAUCGCCGAGGAUGCAGCAUGGGAAUGAAUCCCGAAAAUGGCUCAUUCUGGGCAGACAAACCGGCCGACAUUGGGCGGCUUGUCACAUGCCACGGUUGCCGGCCAAUGAGGGCGGACACGCCCUGCUUCACUGCCCGACGAUAAGAUUUGUAAUCCCACAAAAUACAAACCACCUCCUUAUUAAAAUUUGUGUCAUGAUCCCAGUAUUUGACAUUAUAUAAAACACGUAGCCUACUCAUCCUCAUCCGUCCAAUGGUCCAUCAAUUGUCGGACUUGUUUUGUCCAUUCUUCGCGGUGAGCAGGAUUGUUUGAAAUGGUAAAUGGACUGUACUCAUAUUGCGCAUUUAUCUGCAUGGUUAACAUGCCCAAAGCGCUUUACAUUAGCACACAUUUACCCGUUCACACACACAUUCACACACCAAAACGUUCCUAUUCAACAAAGCUUAUGGUCAGGCUAGUUGAAGUCGGAGUAUACUCAAAGUUUGGUCUAAGCUGCACUAGAAGCUAUAAAGCUGGGGGAAGUACAGCCACUGAGUUCUAUCUCCUUUUUCUCACUCUACCUACCACUUAUCUUACUUUAUUUCUAUUUCCCAAUGUUAAUAUCUAGUUGUAGGCACGGUGGCUGAGUGGUUAGCACGUCUGCCUCACAGUUCUGAGAUCAAGGGUUCAAUCUCGGGCUUCGGCCUUCCUGUGUGAAGUUUGCAUGUUCUCCCCGUGCCUGCGUGGAUUUCCUCCGGGAACUCCGGUUUCCUCCCACAUCCCAAAAACAUGCAUGGUAGGCUGAUUUAACACUCUAAAUUGUCCGUAGGUAUGAGUGUGUGCGUGAAUGGUUGUAUGUCUCCUUGUGCCCUGCGAUUGGCUGGCAACCAGUUCAGGGUGUCCCCUGCCUUCUGCCCGUAGUUAGCUGGGAUAGGCUCCAGCACCUCCGCGACCCUUGUGAGGAAAAGCGGCAUGGAAAAUGAAUGAAUGAAUGCAUGAAUAUCUAGUUGUCUAGUCUCUUCAUCACUAGUCACCCGGUGUCCCCUUUCCCCCCUCCCCUCUGGGGAGGGGCUAUUUUUCAGCUGCAGCCUCCUGACUGUCCGGAUCCCUGGCUGGAUGGACGUCCUCGUUGCUACCCCCGUCUCAUCUGGCUAGAUGGACCUCUUCUUGUUCCUUUACUCCACUGCAUCUUUACGUACUGUAACUUCGCCUGCUAAUUCCCAUUAGCAGUCCUGGGGCUUCCUGUCUGUCCGUCCUGGGAGGUGAUCUCUCCUGACUGUGGUACUCCCCAAGGUUUCUCAUUUUCUCCUUGCCCUUUUUCCUUGCCGACAUGGAGGGUCUAAGGAUGGGGGAUACCCAGGACUUGAAUUUAUUUAUUCAUCUUUGUUGCUUUAUUUGCUGUUUCUGAUUGUGUAUCAUAUUGCCUCUGCAAAGCCCUUUGAGACAACAUUGUUGUGAUCCAGGGCUAUACAAAUAAAAUUGAAUGGAAUUUAAUUGAAUUGAAUUGAAUGGGGCUGCUGCCAUGCAAGGCGCUGUUAACCCAUUGGAGGCAAAUCAGGGUUCAGUGCCUUGCCCAAGGGCACUUUGACAGUGGGCAGUCGUAGCCGGGAAUCAAACCACUGACCCUUCGGUCCAAGGACAACUCUAGCUAUCAACUGCACCACGGCCGAAAAACCCAAAAAGGCUCACACCACUCUCCCUGGUAUAGCAACAAAAGCCUGCAGCACAUUGGGCUGAUGUGAUGUGAAAAAUAAAUUAAUCCUCAAAAUCAGCUGAAUCAGCAGUCCUUCUGUAUCCAAUAGUAUGGCUGUAAAGUGAAGAUGAUCUCAUUCGCUGACGUCACACCCGCCUUCUUCCUCAAUCCUAGGUUCUGGAUGAAGGUCACUCAUUUUCAUGGCAUGUGUUCAAAAAGUUGAAUAAAUAUGUCGAUUGCUUCCACACACAUCCAAGUGGUCCAUUUCACUCAGGAGCAUAAAAUACCGCAUGUAAUAUGAAAUAAACACGCUUAAUGGUGUCAUAUGAACUUAA